rnacentral:lncRNA from 1 species
CCCUGUGGCCUAGUUUUAUUAACUGGACAGUCUUCCUUCCUGUGACCUUUCACCCCCUCUCCCCUCCCUUCCUGGCGUCCAGUUUUGCCCAGUCGGCCUUCAAACAGCUUCGUUCCUUGGUGUCCUUCCCCAUAGGCUGUGGCUGUGAGGUGUGUGUUCCAGAGGGCCUGGGUUUGCGUUGUUGAAACAGGGCUUGGCUUCACUAACCUGUCGUGGGAGAGGGCGGGUGUGCUCGUUAUUCAUUCGUUCGUUCCAAAACCUGCGUGCGAGCUCCCCGUGGCUCUGCUGGGCACAAACCUGCGGUCCCUGGGGCGAGAGGGCCAGGUCGGCCCCACUCAAGGUUCCGCGCAUGGCCUCCCGGUGGCGGCCGCCUCCCCUCUAAACCCAAGGGCGGCCCUCCUAGUGCCGAUGUCUUUUCUUGUGGGUUUUUUUUUUUUUUUCAAUGAGUUUUGAUGAGAGUCUUGCCAAAAUGCCAAAAUGCCUCCUACAGUUUUCUGGAAAUAAUGGGACAGUUUUGUCGAGUGCCGAGUACGUCCUGCUUCGCCCACCAGGUGAAUCACAGUUUCCUCGUCUGGAGAGCGGGGAUCGGGUCUCCGUCUGUGGGCCGUGGUGAGCAUUCAGCGGGCGGUGUAGCCGGGCGCCCAGCAGGUGCCCCAGAAACGAAUCACAGUGGGCUCGCGUCGAGCUCCCCGGUGCAAGAAUGCACGAGCGAGAGCCUCCAAGCAGAAGCACAAGCGACGGUUCGGAGAGUGUGAGGUGGCGGCUUGGAAACCUCUGCUUCUUCCGCACAACCGAGGGGGCUUCUGCCCGCGAGCUGAGCCGUGACCUUUUCCAGCUUCCUUCCAGCGGAUGUUGCUCCCCAGAGACAAGUCCCACUGAGCCAGGCCAGUGGGUCAUUUUCUGGAGUGCGGCUGAGCUGGCCUAGGGCGCUGGAAGGUCUGCUGCUGCCCUCCCUGGCUUUGGGGUGCGGGAGUACAGAAGGCCCUGGGGCCUCUCCACCAGGGAGCCCCACUGUCCACCCCGGGUGCUGGGCUGCGGGGCUAAGCCUGGCCAUGCACCCACUCGGGUCCUGGUCUGCCAGCCGCUCUCUCGAUGCCCGUCGGCCUCCUGGCACCUGUAAAUAAAUCCUGUCCUGGAUGAGUUUGUUCUCUGAGA